AUGUGGAGCCGUAGCGAAAGCGAGUCUGAAUAGGGCGUUGAGUAUUUGGUCGUAGACCCGAAACCAGGUGAUCUACCCAUGGUCAGGUUGAAGUUCAGGUAACACUGAAUGGAGGACCGAACCGACUUACGUUGAAAAGUGAGCGGAUGAACUGUGGGUAGCGGAGAAAUUCCAAUCGAACUUGGAGAUAGCUGGUUCUCUCCGAAAUAGCUUUAGGGCUAGCCUCAAGUGAUGAUUAUUGGAGGUAGAGCACUGUUUGGACGAGGGGCCCCUCUCGGGUUACCGAAUUCAGACAAACUCCGAAUGCCAAUUAAUUUAACUUGGGAGUCAGAACAUGGGUGAUAAGGUCCGUGUUCGAAAGGGAAACAGCCCAGACCACCAGCUAAGGUCCCAAAAUAUAUGUUAAGUGGAAAAGGAUGUGGCGUUGCCCAGACAACUAGGAUGUUGGCUUAGAAGCAGCCAUCAUUUAAAGAGUGCGUAAUAGCUCACUAGUCGAGUGACACUGCGCCGAAAAUGUACCGGGGCUAAACAUAUUACCGAAGCUGUGGAUUGUCCGUAGGACAAUGGUAGGAGAGCGUUCUAAGGGCGUUGAAGCAUGAUCGCAAGGACAUGUGGAGCGCUUAGAAGUGAGAAUGCCGGUGUGAGUAGCGAAAGACGGGUGAGAAUCCCGUCCACCGAUUGACUAAGGUUUCCAGAGGAAGGCUCGUCCGCUCUGGGUUAGUCGGGUCCUAAGCUGAGGCCGACAGGCGUAGGCGAUGGAUAACAGGUUGAUAUUCCUGUACCACCUAGCAUCGUUUUAAUCGAUGGGGGGACGCAGUAGGAUAGGCGAAGCGUACGAUUGGAUUGUACGUCCAAGCAGUGAGAUUGAGUGUUAGGCAAAUCCGGCACUCUUAAGAUUGAGCUGUGAUGGGGAGAGGAAAUUGUUUCCUCGAGUCGUUGAUUUCACACUGCCGAGAAAAGCCUCUAGAUAGAUAAUAGGUGCCCGUACCGCAAACCGACACAGGUAGUCAAGAUGAGAAUUCUAAGGUGAGCGAGCGAACUCUCGUUAAGGAACUCGGCAAAAUGACCCCGUAACUUCGGGAGAAGGGGUGCUCUUUAGGGUGCAAGCCCAGAAGAGCCGCAGUGAAUAGGCCCAAGCGACUGUUUAUCAAAAACACAGGUCUCUGCUAAACCGUAAGGUGAUGUAUAGGGGCUGACGCCUGCCCGGUGCUGGAAGGUUAAGAGGAGUGGUUAGCUUCUGCGAAGCUACGAAUCGAAGCCCCAGUAAACGGCGGCCGUAACUAUAACGGUCCUAAGGUAGCGAAAU
rnacentral:rRNA from 1 species